CCGUGUGCGUGGCGCUGUGUUUAGCCAGAGCAAGGAGUCUUGGUGGGAAAGACUAUAAGGACACACCUGACGCUUAAACCGAUUAGCAAAAAACUAAAACCGACCCUUACCUUAACCAAACCCUAAACCUAAGUUUAAUUCAUUCUGAACUGGUUUGGGCGUCAGGCGUGUCCUUCUAGACUUUUCCAGUGUGGGUAGCCAGGCAAACCACCCAGCACUGGAUUGGUGCAGCUAUGAACAAAUUGGCGCCAUUUUGAAGCCGAGAGGAGGAUCACAGCCGUAGAGGGAAAGACGAUUGGCUACAAUUCAUCAAAUAAGGAUCGACAGUGCCGAGGUUGGACCACAGUGAGAACGAGGAUAUCACAGUCAUGAAGAGUCUGGCUGCACAGGACGACGACAGCAAGCCCUGCAGGUGACGCAAACGACGGACAGCCGCUUCCAGCCAGGACGACAAGACAGGCCAGGAGGCCAAGCCCAAACGUGGGGGAGGAGCCGUGGGCCAAGGCCAAUGCCGCAGACACCACCCUGGAGACGAAAGACGAACAGAACAAUCCUCCCAAAAGAGGUCGCAGGAGACGGCCCCCAAGGGCAUAAGGGGCCGGAAGAAGGCUGCUUGUCAAGCUGAGGAGCAGGGGGAGGAGGAAGAUGGCAGCAGAUGGAGAUGUCUCAGAGCCAGGAAGAGGAGGAGAGCAAGACCACAACCAAAGUGCGACGGAAGAUGGGCAGGAGAAGAUGAGACAGAGAUCAUGUUUUUUUCUCCAAGGUCAGGGGGCCCGUGACCACGAGGACAAGAACAAGAACAGAUGGAGAGGAGCUGUACAUCGAUCGCCUAGGCGAUUUGCAUUUUAUUGUGCAUGUGCAAAGGUGCCUCUGCAGAUGAUGAAAAAAAACGACAAGUGACAAAUCCAAGAUUAAAUCAAGUAUUUGGUCCA